rnacentral:rRNA from 1 species
AAAUUGAAGAGUUUGAUCAUGGCUCAGAUUGAACGCUGGCGGCAGGCCUAACACAUGCAAGUCGAACGGUAACAGGAAGCAGCUUGCUGCUUCGCUGACGAGUGGCGGACGGGUGAGUAAUGUCUGGGAAACUGCCUGAUGGAGGGGGAUAACUACUGGAAACGGUGGCUAAUACCGCAUAACGUCGCAAGACCAAAGAGGGGGACCUUCGGGCCUCUUGCCAUCAGAUGUGCCCAGAUGGGAUUAGCUUGUUGGUGAGGUAACGGCUCACCAAGGCGACGAUCCCUAGCUGGUCUGAGAGGAUGACCAGCCACACUGGAACUGAGACACGGUCCAGACUUCUACGGGAGGCAGCAGUGGGGAAUAUUGCACAAUGGGCGCAAGCCUGAUGCAGCCAUGCCGCGUGUAUGAAGAAGGCCUUCGGGUUGUAAAGUACUUUCAGCGGGGAGGAAGGUGUUG